CGGCGGCUGCCAGGCUCCAGGAAAGUAGCUUGAUGAGUGUCCAAAGUAGCAGUGGAAGUUUGGAGGGGCCGCCAUCUUGGUCCCGGCUCUCCACGUCCCCACCGAGCCUGCAGGGCUGCUCCGCGGCGGCCUCCCAGCUGCACGGCACGCCGCCCGGCAAGCCGCCCAAGGAAGGAGCAAUGGAUGAGCUUCAUAGCCUGGACCCAAGAAGACAAGAAUUGUUAGAGGCAAGAUUUACAGGAGUAGUAAGUGGCAGCACUGGGAGUACUGGAAGUUGCAGUGUUGGAGCUAAAGCCUCAACAAAUAAUGAAAGUUCGAACCACAGUUUUGGAAGCUUGGGAUCUUUAAGUGAUAAAGAAUCAGAGACUCCAGAGAAGAAACAGUCAGAACCUUCCAGAGGAAGAAAAAGAAAAGCAGAUACUCAGAGUGAAAGCAGCCAAGGAAAGAGUAUCGGGGGACGUGGCCACAAGAUUAGUGACUAUUUUGAGUACCAAGGUGGCAACGGCUCUAGUCCAGUUCGAGGUGUACCUCCUGCAAUCCGAUCUCCUCAGAAUUCACAUUCCGCCCCUUCUUCUGUUCGACAGAAUAGUCCUUCUCCUACUUCAUUAGCUUUUGGGGACCACCCUACCACGCAACCAAAGCAGUUAUCUUUUAAAAUUACUCAGACUGAUCUCACAAUGCUGAAAUUAGCUGCACUAGAAAGUAAUAAAAAUCAAGACUUGGAAAAGAAAGAAGGUCGUAUAGAUGACUUACUCAGGGCUAACUGUGAUCUUAGAAGACAAAUAGAUGAACAACAAAAGCUACUUGAAAAAUAUAAGGAAAGAUUAAACAAAUGUAUUUCAAUGAGCAAGAAGCUUCUAAUUGAAAAGAGCACACAAGAAAAGCUGGCAAGCAGAGAGAAGAGCAUGCAAGACAGAUUACGCCUGGGGCAUUUUACAACAGUUCGUCAUGGUGCUUCAUUUACUGAACAGUGGACAGAUGGCUUUGCAUUUCAGAAUCUUGUAAAGCAGCAAGAAUGGGUGAAUCAACAAAGGGAAGACAUUGAAAGGCAAAGAAAGCUCCUGGCCAAGCGAAAGCCACCAACUACAAAUAAUUCUCAGGCACCAUCUGCCAAUUCUGAACCCAAGCAGAGGAAAAAUAAAGCUGUGAAUGGGGCAGAAAACGAUCCCUUUGUUAGACCCAAUUUGCCACAGCUUUUGACUCUAGCAGAGUAUCAUGAACAGGAAGAAAUCUUCAAACUUCGAUUAGGACAUCUCAAGAAGGAGGAAGCUGAAAUACAAGCAGAACUUGAACGUUUGGAAAGAGUUAGGAAUCUUCACAUCAGAGAGCUGAAAAGAAUUAAUAAUGAAGAUAAUUCACAGUUUAAAGAUCACCCCACAUUGAAUGAACGGUAUUUGUUACUCCAUUUGCUUGGCCGAGGUGGCUUCAGUGAAGUAUACAAGGCUUUUGAUCUUUAUGAACAAAGAUAUGCUGCUGUGAAGAUUCACCAGCUUAACAAAAGCUGGAGGGAUGAAAAGAAAGAAAACUACCACAAACAUGCCUGCAGAGAGUAUAGAAUACACAAAGAACUGGAUCACCCCCGGAUAGUUAAAUUAUAUGACUACUUCUCCUUGGAUACAGAUACGUUUUGCACGGUGUUAGAAUACUGUGAAGGCAAUGACUUGGAUUUCUAUCUCAAGCAACAUAAAUUGAUGUCAGAGAAGGAAGCUAGGUCCAUUGUAAUGCAAAUAGUAAAUGCACUACGGUAUCUCAAUGAGAUCAAGCCCCCUAUUAUACACUAUGAUCUUAAACCAGGUAAUAUUCUUCUUGUAGAUGGAACAGCAUGUGGAGAAAUAAAAAUUACUGAUUUUGGAUUGUCCAAAAUAAUGGAUGAUGAUAGCUAUGGUGUGGAUGGAAUGGAUUUAACUUCACAAGGAGCAGGAACUUACUGGUACUUGCCUCCAGAGUGUUUUGUAGUUGGCAAAGAGCCACCAAAGAUUUCUAAUAAGGUUGAUGUAUGGUCAGUUGGAGUAAUCUUUUUCCAGUGUCUUUAUGGUCGAAAGCCAUUUGGCCACAAUCAAUCUCAGCAAGAUAUCUUACAAGAAAAUACAAUAUUAAAAGCCACAGAAGUCCAGUUCCCUGUUAAGCCUGUUGUUAGCAAUGAAGCCAAGGCCUUUAUCAGACGCUGCUUAGCAUACCGAAAAGAGGAUAGAUUUGAUGUCCAUCAACUGGCUAAUGAUCCUUACCUUCUCCCCCAUAUGAGGAGAUCAAAUUCUUCAGGAAACUUACAUAUGACUGGGCUAGCAGCAUCCCCUACACCACCUACUUCAAGCAUUAUUUCAUACUGAAAUUUCUCCAACUGAGGAAUGGCAUGAUAUCUUGGUGUAGUUUCCAAAUGCAUACUUGAGCUUGAGAACAUAUGGGUGUUUUUCUGCAGGACAAGUUUGAUAACUGUGUUUUCAGGCUGAAGUCCUCCUACAUAGUGUUGUUUGUAUGAUUGGAAUGGGUCAUGGACUGUGAAUAAACAUACCCUUCAGAGAACAGCCUUUAAAUGUUGAAGGAUGACAUUGCCUGUUGCACACUAACAGAGUACUGGGAUUGCAUCCUUUUCACCAUCUGCCAGUACGAAACCGAGGUGGUGGGGUUCAAGGAUUUUGCCAUGGCUGCACGCUCACAUUAAAUUUCAUUAUAUCCUGUUCUGUGUCUUGGAAGUUACAGACUGUUUUGCCUAAGGAAAAGAGAUGCACAUGAAGAAUCACUGUGUCAUCUUUCAAAUCGAAGUUGCAAGAUCUCAACGCGAGCACAACCUGUGUACUGGAGGUAAGCAUCUUAUGGUGCUGUCAGUAAAAAUUUUGUAUCCCCAUGUGGAUUUAUUCUGUCUUCACAGCACGUCCAAGUUGGUGUCUGAUGGCUGAUGCUCAGCAAUUUGUGCUUGGCAUAGAAGUACCCUUGAGACUGAAUCCAGAAGCCUGAAUUACUGCGACUUGUCGAGAAAUGCUGAUCACUUCUAGGCUUACAGCUGUGGCUCAGCAGCAGCUGGCAGAGUUCUCUCCAACGAUUUCAGCACUGGAAUACCUUCCCUGUGUGCCUUUCUAUUGAAAAGCCAGCUUGUGUGAAGCAGGGAGGAAUGUCUGGAGCAGAAGGUGGAGAAGAAUGUACUGGUUUAUGUAAUCCCUCUGACUGGAGCAGCAGUUUAUGGGGCUUCUUGAAGCUGUGAAUUUCUGACCAGAUGUGGAAGGGAAAAAGCAGUUUGCUUCUCUCUCUCUGCUAUCCUGCCCAGUUCCCUCCUUUCAAUACUGGCUGUGCAGAAAUGCUUUCUUCAGCUGGAACUGGAGGAGUUUCCUGUUUCUGUUUUGUACAGCUGUACCCAUGUGGAAGACCCAAAUGCAGGGGAUGUAUCAAGCACUGUGCAGAAAUGUACCAGCGACUGAACUGAGGCAAAUAGUUUUAAAGCCAUCUUCUUCCAGCAAGAUCUGGUGGUAAAAGUUAUCCCCAGCGAGGAAGUACCUGGCCCGGAGUGUAAAUCCUUUUCAGGGGUGCAGAGUCAGCAUCAGUAACUGACAGCAAAGUUACAGCCAACAGCCAUGCCAGGUGCUUCUUCUGCAGUGUAACCUUCAAAAAUGCCAUUUCGUGUGGCGUUACAAAGACCGUACUGGAAAGGAAAAGGUAACAUCUUCUGCUGAGGCAAAGAAAGCCUGGGAAGAGUACAUACCUACCACUAUCAGCUGAAGUUUCAAUCUCUCAAUACCCUCCUGCUCAUCCAUAAAUUUGAAGCUUCCGCGGCAGCUUAAAAAGGCCUUACCAUCGUGAAGGAUCAAACCUGACGGGUGCCUGCUGACUGCUACAAUCGAGCCAUGGUCUAUAGCAUUUUCAACAUUUUCUUCCAAAUUCUAAUGUUCCAUAGGUGCACGAGUGUGUAGCAGAGAGGGGUACGUGAUUGAUGGGCAGAGAUGGGGCUGCACUCACCUGCUGGGACUCAGGAGAAGGAGCCUUGCUGAGGAGAAGGUGACAAACUGGUGAACCCCUCUUAACACUUCUCAGCCAGAGCAGGUCUGUGCAUGCCUGUCCUGGCUGGAUCUGUGGCCUUUCACUGACGAGUCUUGCUGCAAUCACUCACACCAAGUAUAACAUGUCACAAAAACUGUGCCUUGAUACUAAUGUGCAAUUGAAAUAAUGUGUGAAGGAUGUUCCUAAGAAUGACUAUUCAGUUUCCAGAGUGAAAUUCUUAUUUUUUUGGUUGCACACUGGCACCAUAGUACAUCUGUACACUAUUCAUAGUGGCACCUAAUGAUUAAUACGGAGUUGAGGCUUCCCGAGAAGGGCAUGUGUGUUCCUUGCUAAACUUACUAAAUCCUACAGAAAUCUGAUGCCUAACAAAAUAUCGCUGCUUUAUCUUUCACAGAGCUUUAAUUCUUCAGCUGGAGUAGGUGAUGGGCUGGGCAGAACUGAUGAAGAAUCUCCUGAGCUGGAUGCAGUUUUGUUUCACUUGGGGAGCUGUUUUAUGAGAUUGUUCUUGCACCUUAAAUAAUGAAUUUUAAAAACCCCAGUGUGAGCAGUGAAUGCCCAGCACAGCUCUGCCCGGACAUGUUAACGAAUCCUUGGCACUGUCCUGAAGAAUGCACAGAAGGCGGCUACAAAGCCCUCAGCAGCCAUCUCCUGGCACUGCAGCAGAGACUCAAGCUGCAGAAUGCACCUCUUCUACGUGUGCGUGUGAUUACUCAAGCAGAGCUGUAGCUGUGCCCCUGCACUUGAAACAAACAUCUCAACCGCUGAACAGCAUUGGCCCCAGAGCAGCUUCUUGUGGAAUAGGAUGCUUCACCUUACACUGGGAAAUUACAGCUGAACUUCUGCACCACUGAAUCGCUUCCAGAUUUGAAGCUGUGUUACCUUUAGCAGAACUGCUUCUGGCUACACUGAAACAAUGCCUUCUUCCAUUACUCUCAUAAUCAUCACAACAUGGAUAUAUAAAGCAGUCAAGAAAAGACCUUAAUAUAGCUAACGGAAAUGCAUGAUUUCAGCCUAAGCAUUCUAUUCUAUUUUUUGGCUACUGGAGACAUCUACGCAACUACAGAAGUCCACAGCUUGCAGUUGGAAAGCGUAAAACAUGCCAGGUAACUUGAGGCAUUACUGCAAAGAACAUCAUUCCACACUAACAGAAAAGGCAUUAGGUUAUGAUCAGCAUCCUGUUAACAAUUGCUCUACAUUGGGUAUGUGACAAAACCUGUAUUUCUGCUGCUCUUGGAUUAGAGAAGGAAAGCAACUUUGUCAAGGGCUCUGACUGGGACAGUGUGUAGAGAAGUUCCAGGAAAGGCUGUAAGGCCAGUGAGGCUUUAUGAAGCUCAGGAAUAGCAGACGUUCUUUAUAUACAGCAAAGAAAAGAGGGAACAUCCUUAUUACAAAGUUUAAUUCUGAUAUAUAUGAUACUGGAAUUACAAAAUAAAUCAAAAGAUACAUUCUGAGAAGCUCUGAGCCGUGUAUUUACCAAGGCAGAGGGACUUCAAAUUCCAUGCAGUUGAGAAAAUAAAUUGCUAGCAAUGUGAAAAAGGAUUUGGGGUCUCUAACAGCAGAUCUCCAAAUAGAUAAUAGGUGAUGAGGGAACAUGCAGUGGUGGGCCAGAGGAAAGACAAAUUCUUAAGGGAAUAAAGGUAAGACGGGACAACAAGUGUUAGAUAAGGCUUCCACCUGAACUAAUUUGAAACGUUAUGAUCAGCAAUCAAAUGCAGCUACUGUUCUUAAGAGUGAUCAGGCACACUGCAUUGCCAAAAGGAGACAAGCUCCAGAUAACUGAUGACAGCUAGAAGUCAGACCAUGGUUGAAGCAUGGAUAAGUGAAAUUCCAGUAGUACAGAAGGACUGGAGUAGUGUGGAAGGAGCUGAGGCUGUCGUUGGAGUACAGCACACGUACCAGGUUACACAAAGUGUUUCAUCUGCUCUAAUCCUGAACAUCAGUUUCAAAAAAACAUGAAUCACUUGCAGGCAGCUUUUGUGACUCGCUGCUACAGCGGAUCUAACCACUGCUGACCCUGCCUGCAUGCUGAAGUCUGGCAUUCCUUCUUGGAUCCAUUCCUCAGGAAAAGAGCCUUUUUACUGGUUUGUACUAGAGAGCUGAGCUUAAACCAGGAAAACUUACAGCAUUAAGCAAAUAAAUGUGCUAUUUUCUCACACAGGAUGAAAUUCCAGGUAUUUAUUGCUGUAUGUCUGCUUAAUCCAUUAAUUUGUCUUACAGUAGUCAUGAAGUGCCAAAUCGUGUGCUACAUGUAACAUAUCCUGUAUUCCCUUCCAAAUGCCAUUUUACAGUGGGGGUGUGAAGCAGCACAGCAGCAGUCACAAAACAUGGCUUGAGCUUCUCUCAAGAGCUUAAAAAUAAGAUUUGUAUACAAACUGAAUACCGACAUGUUAAUUAACAGGUCACUCAGCAAUUCUAAUAGAAACAUCUUCAGGUGGAAGUUUGCACUGGUAAAAUUUAUGACUCAGACCAAACAUCCUCAUCCCCACUGCAGUAACAAGAUACUUGCAAAGUCAAGAACUAUGGUAUGUCAAUGUCAUACGCAAGAACUGCUUCAUUUCUAUGAGAAGCAAAAAUUGCUACUUAGAAGCAAGGAGAGGCCUAGCUAAGGCUAUCAGCCUUUAUUAAAAACAUACAGGUCCAAGUUUGGCAGUGGAAUUCUAUUUACCACCUUGAAUGUUUCUUUAUUGUGGGUUUGGUUUUUUGUUUUUCUUUUUGGUUAAGUACAAGUACUCUUCUUCCCCUCCCACCAAGCUCACUUUAUAAAUCCCCUUUAUUUUUAUUAUACCUCCAUAUUAUUUACAGGACUGCUAAAGAUUAAGUACAAACUAGUAUGAAAUUAAUGAUAGCUUGCUCUUCAAAUAUGUAUCCCAUGGCUAAAUAAAUACCGAGUGAUCUGGAGUUACGAUUCAGAAGCAUGUGUAUCUGUGAUGCCGGAUGCCUUCUCAUUCACAGCAGGGGAUUCACUCGAUCUGUCAACAAUAGCUGCCUUAGAAGUUGGGGUAGCACUAUCCAAGGUGAGCGGAGAGGUCUGUUCUACAUUUACAGCAGUGCCAGGGUCAACAGAAAAGCUUCCAGCUUGAGUCAUGGUGGGAAGCAAAUCUGUAGGCACUGUAGAUACCUCUGUGACCAAAGGAAGCAGAGGAACGCAUUUUGGUGGCAUUAAUGGAGGUGUUAUUCCCAUUAGAUUCAAAGGCGGCAAAGAAGGAAGGGUUGGCAUACCUAAGAAUAAAAAAAAAGGGCAGUCAGCUGCUACAUACCACACACAAAUCUAAACAGAUUCUGUGUUAGCUUAACAUUUUCCUUUUUUCUAAUCCCCUGUAUAUCCUUGGAGAGAACUCAGCAAGUUUGUUUCAAAGGCUGAUGCAUUUAUUUCAGAAUCAAAAAAUCAGAACAAACUCCAGUUUGCUUCUAGUCCUCGAGAGAGAUGGGACUAAAAUACUAAUACUGAUUAUUAGAUUUUUCUGGCCAGCAACAAGAAGCUAGUGAGAACUUACUCUGUGCAAGCUUCUAACUUCUUUUUGCUUGCUCCACAUGCAUCUUCAGCACUU